GGCAAGGUGGCGGAGUGGUUAACGCGUGUGACUCGAAUAUUCCUAUCCGGCAUCACAUUCCUUCGGGAGCGCAGGUUCGAGUCCUGCCCUUGUCG